rnacentral:rRNA from 1 species
CUAGGCCUACGGGAGGCAGCAGUGAGGAAUAUUGGUCAAUGGGCGGGAGCCUGAACCAGCCAAGUCGCGUGAAGGAAGAAGGCACUUAGUAUUGUAAACUUCUUUUGUCGGGGAACAAAGGCGGAGACGCGUCUCCGGAUGAGUGUACCCGAAGAAAAAGCAUCGGCUAACUCCGUGCCAGCAGCCGCGGGAAUACGGAGGAUGCGAGCGCUAUCCGGAUUUAUUGGGUUUAAAGGGCGCGCAGGCGGGAGAUCAAGUCAGCGGUAAAAUGUCGGGGCUCAACCCCGGGCGGCCGCUGAAACUGG